UACGUAGGGGGCUAGCGUUGUCCGGAAUCAUUGGGCGUAAAGCGCGUGUAGGCGGUUCGGUAAGUCUGCUGUGAAAGUCCAGGGCUCAACCCUGGGAUGCCGGUGGAUACUGUCGGACUAGAGUACGGAAGAGGCGAGUGGAAUUCCCGGUGUAGCGGUGAAAUGCGCAGAUAUCGGGAGGAACACCAAUGGCGAAGGCAGCUCGCUGGGACGUUACUGACGCUGAGACGCGAAAGCGUGGGGAGCAAACAGG
rnacentral:rRNA from 1 species